CGCCUGCAGUAGAGCUGAAGUAGAAGAUAGGGCUCCAUAUUAGGAUACUUCAGAUGAGAUUUUAAGUAUUUUAAGAUUAGAUUAAUUUUCUUUUGACACCAUUCAAGCUUUGGAAAGCUUUGGAAGUGUUGUAACUUGAGGGGUAACCUUUGACCUCUCAAAGGUUGAGGAGCUAGCUCAUCUCAGAAGAACAGAGAAAAGGAGCAUUAGGCCAAGUGAUAGUAAUCACUUCUGUAGGCCUUUCUCUUUUUAUUUUGAUAUGUG